GACGAACGCUGGCGGCGUGCUUAACACAUGCAAGUCGAACGGAAAGGCCCUGCUUUUGUGGGGUGCUCGAGUGGCGAACGGGUGAGUAACACGUGAGUAACCUGCCCUUGACUUUGGGAUAACUUCAGGAAACUGGGGCUAAUACCGGAUAGGAGCUCCUGCUGCAUGGUGGGGGUUGGAAAGUUUCGGCGGUUGGGGAUGGACUCGCGGCUUAUCAGCUUGUUGGUGGGGUAGUGGCUUACCAAGGCUUUGACGGGUAGCCGGCCUGAGAGGGUGACCGGCCACAUUGGGACUGAGAUACGGCCCAGACUCCUACGGGAGGCAGCAGUGGGGAAUAUUGCACAAUGGGCGGAAGUCUGAUGCAGCAACGCCGCGUGCGGGAUGACGGCCUUCGGGUUGUAAACCGCUUUCGCCUGUGACGAAGCGUGAGUGACGGUAAUGGGUAAAGAAGCACCGGCUAACUACGUA
rnacentral:rRNA from 1 species